rnacentral:rRNA from 1 species
UACGGAGGGUGCGAGCGUUGUCCGGAAUCACUGGGCGUAAAGGGCGCGUAGGCGGCUUGAUAAGCGUGCGGUGAAAGCCCGGGGCUCAACCCCGGGUCGGCCGUGCGAACUGUCGAGCUGGAGCACUGUAGAGGCAGGUGGAAUUCCGGGUGUAGCGGUGGAAUGCGUAGAGAUCCGGAAGAACACCGGUGGCGAAGGCGGCUCUCUGGAACGCAACUGACGCUGAGACGCGAAAGCGUGGGGAGCAAACAGG